rnacentral:rRNA from 1 species
UACAGAGGGUGCAAGCGUUAAUCGGAAUUACUGGGCGUAAAGCGCGCGUAGGUGGUUUGUUAAGUUGGAUGUGAAAUCCCCGGGCUCAACCUGGGAACUGCAUUCAAAACUGACAAGCUAGAGUAUGGUAGAGGGUGGUGGAAUUUCCUGUGUAGCGGUGAAAUGCGUAGAUAUAGGAAGGAACACCAGUGGCGAAGGCGACCACCUGGACUGAUACUGACACUGAGGUGCGAAGCGUGGGAGCAAACCAGGA